ensembl:lncRNA
UGUCAACCACCAUUAAUGAGCAGACUUCAAAUUCUGAAGUUGUUAUUUGAAUGAAUUAAAAGAGGAUGAUUUCUACUGUAUCUACUCCCCUUUCCCAUAUCUGUUUCAGUGUACCCAGGCAGUGAUCUUAUUAGUGUCAGUGAUCUUAUUAGUGUCAGUGAUCUUAUUAGUGAUAGUGAUCUUAUUAGUGAUAGUGUACCCAGUGAUCUUAUUAGUGUCAGUGAUCUUAUUAGUGAUAGUGAUCUUAUUAGUGAUAGUGAUCUUAUUAGUGUCAGUGAUCUUAUUAGUGAUAGUGAUCUUAUUAGUGUCAGUGAUCUUAUUAGUGAUAGUGAUCUUAUUAGUGUCAGUGAUCUAAUUAGUGAUAGUGAUCUUAUUAGUGAUCUUAUUAGUGUCAGUGAUCUUAUUAGUGAUAGUGAUCUUAUUAUGAUCAGUGAUCUUAUUAGUGAUAGUGAUCGUAUUAGUGAUCUUAUUAGUGAUAGUGAUCUUAUUAGUGUCAGUGAUCUUAUUAGUGAUAGUGAUCUUAUUAGUGAUAGUGAUCUUAUUAGUGAUCAGUGAUCUUAUUAGUGAUAGUGAUCUUAUUAGUGAUCUUAUUAGUGAUAGUGAUCUUAUUAGUGAUCUUAUUAGUGAUAGUGUACCCAGUGAUCUUAUUAGUGUCAGUGAUCUUAUUAUUAUUAGUGAUCUUAUUAGUGAUGAUAGUGUCGCCAGUGAUCUUAUUAGUGAUAGUGAUCUUAUUAGUGAUAGUGAUCUUAUUAGUGAUAGUGUACCCAGUGAUCUUAUUAGUGUCAGUGAUCUUAUUAGUGAUAGUGAUCUUAUUAGUGAUCAGUGAUCUUAUUAGUGAUAGUGAUCUUAUUAGUGAUAGUGUACCCAGUGCAGUGAUCUUAUUAGUGUACCCAGGCAUUCAACAAUUAGAACAAAGUGGAUAUAUAGGUUGUUUUUUAGUAGACGUCAAACACCUUGUGAGGAGACAGAGAGAGAGCCCACUGACUCGUGUGCAUCCCACAGGUAUCUACAUGACGUGCACGUUAACAAGCCCCCCUGACGGCAUCUGUCACUUUCCCAAAUCAUAGUACUCAA